UUCUUGCAUCACCACUUCUAAGAACCCCAGUUCUAAGAAUCAGUGGAGCUCAAUUCUCGGAAUUUGAGCUGGCGACCAUACCAUUUUCAGAGGACAGGGGAGUGUCGUAUUUUGAUGUAAGAUUGUAUUUCUUCAGUUAUUCUCAAAAAUUGAAUUCCAUACGAUUAGAAUGCUAUAAUAAACGGCUGUACUUCUAUAUAUUAUGAUUAAAAUGUAAAGUAAAUGGUCAUAUUUUCGUUUUGAGAUCGAGAAAUACUUGCCUCAAAUGUUUAAUUCCUCCUUACUUUUGGACGCGUCCAGACAGAGACAGUCACGUGAGCAGAGAAAGUGGCUUACGUACGUUCUCUCUUUAGCCCAGCCUCAAAAUACUCAGAACUAAUUUGCUAUUCCAUGACAUAAGCAAAGUGUCCAUUCGUUGCCUUUCCCUGUAUAUUCAACCCACAGCCAUAGUCUAUACAGAACAUAUCUGGAGAGCUUAUUCAAACGGACACAUUUUUCUUAUUGUUAUUUUUACGUGACACCUUUUUUAUUUCCUAUGCUAUUUCUUCAGUGCUGCGGACCUGCUGGCCAGUGGGCAUAAGGGUUUGUUUGGACGGGAUUAUAUAUAUAUUUGAACACUAGACAUUGUUCUUGAAUAUUGGCUUUAUUCCACCGCUGCAAUUUUAUGUUUAACUUCAAUUUCGAUUAAUUUGUUCUCGUUGUGAUUUAUAUCGCUGCCUUAGGAAACAGUUGCGACCAGAAGUGUUGUUUAGACCGAAAUGUAAUGGUGCUUGUAAGAAAUAUAAUUGUGAAAGUGCUGUUGAAAACCGUUACUUCGACUUCGUAUUGUGUAAUACAGUGUUUUAAUUGUCAAGAAGGAAGCAGGGAAUAGCCGUUUCUGCACUGGUGCAAGGGCGCAAAGUUUUGUGAAGAUGCCAGUGACACGCAACAUUUAAUCUCACUGACGAAGUAAUCUCAUUCUUACGCGUAACCUUGCAACACUAAAACAUUUGAGGACUUGCACGUUUUGUACGUAGGCUAGCUGCUACACGUCAGACUCUUUGCAAACGGAGAGCUACGUUUCUCUUUUUAUUUGUUUCUCCAAAACCGGCACACAAAAUAUUGUUAAAUAGUUGUAUUUUUUAGGCCCACAAAAAUGUGUUAUUUAUGCUUAAUACGUACGUAUACGUAAGUAGCCUGAUACGUCGUUGCUUUAUGUUGCCUCAGCCUUAAACAAUAUUCUAUUAAUUUCUUUUCGUUAUGUUUAAUGUCCUAAGCAACAGUUUUAUCCGUGAUUUAUUUUAUUUUUUCCCCCGCACACCUUCAAAAGUGAUACAACUUAUGCACCCAAAAUGUCAUCAGCAACCUAUAGAUAUUUUAGGCCUUUGUUUAUUAUAGGCCACACUUGGUUAUUUUCAUACAUUUUAAACCUAUUUUUUAUGCUCAACGUGCACAAGGAUUUGUCUAAAAAGUGCGUCAAAUUCUGACAUAGUUCCAGCAUGGUUACUUUAUAAUUAAUCUCUAUUAAUAUUAUUGAUUCUAAUGCUAACAUGGGCGUAAAUUAGACUUUAAGUAGUUUAAAGUAUUGAAGGAAAGUUUACAAAACUUUUUCCAUCUUGUGGAAGCAGCUGUCAGAAAGUGCAUAGAAAAGGCAGCGUGUCAUGGUGCUUUUCUUUAGGAUACUUUUGAACGCACACAUGCUUGUGUCGUAUCUUUCGUGUCUGCGCAGUGUAGUAAACGUGUACAGAGCCAAUGCUUAAAUACGUCGCCGCUUGUUAUCCAUGUGCACAAACACCGCAACGGGCCAGAAGUUUUUAAGUUUCACAUUUAGAGGCAGAAGUAGUUUCUGUGUUCCCUAAAACAGGAUCUCGUCUCAUUAGUCUCUGAGAGAAAAUUGAGUUGAAUUGAUCCAUCGAAUGGGAUGGACAAACACCGACAAUCACAUUUUAAUUUCCUUAAUAUUCAAACCUCAAGUUCAGCCAACGCUGCCUUGGCAAGCAUGCUGUUUUGGACACGCUACGUUUUUUGAGGCAAAUAAAGACAACUUUAAAGUCUCAUAAGAAGGAAUAUCUUUUAGCAGAUCUCUUAGUUUUGUGAUUAAUUAUUUGUGCGCAUUUUGUAGCCUGUGGUGUUUAGGUAAUUUAUUAUUGAAUAAUAUGAGAUCUGAGUAACGGUAAUGAAAAACGUGCACUUAAUGCGCAUUUAUGGAGUAGUUAGGUGUUGUAGGCUAUAGGUCCAAUUAUAUUUGUAUAUAAAAUGGAAACUUGAAAAGUAAUGAACUUUUCCAUAGUCUUGCAUGUUUCGAGAGCCUAUGGUAUUUAGUCUUACAUUUUAAACUCGGCCUGUUUGCAGAGAUAUUUUGAGAUUAUGUCCUUGUAUGCUGAUAUAGUGUUAUAUUAUGCUUGUAAAAUCUUACUGGGGGAAACUAUCUAAUUUUUUUUUUUUGCAACAAUUUUUUUUGGUGCAGUGUUUAUGACCAUGGUUUAGUUGUCAUCCCUAAUACCAUAAGCAAAUAUUGUUACCUACUUUGAGGAUAUUGUAAUUUUUUUGUUUUUAAAAUCAUGUGUUUUGGAAUAUAUUGUGUAUGGCAAAUGAUAAUAAAUGUUUUGCCAAAUUACAAAUCUCAAGUCUUUGAUUUUUGCAUUUGCCAAGGCAUAUUGUGUGCGUACAUUCAAGUGUCUUUUUUAGAUUGUAAAUCAGAAAAUGAGCUGAAUAGUGAGAGUAAAGGGACUAAAGUAAAAUUAAUCUGUAUCAUAAUCACAUUUGGUUUCACAGUUUUUCUCUCUAAGGCUUACUUUACCUGGACAGCUCUGACCCACAUACAUUGCUCUUUAUGUAACUAUCAUUUGCAGUUUUUACCAUGAUCUCCACCACUCUGUAGUCACAAGGGAAUCUCAUGUACCCCUGUUUGUUUUUAAACUCUUUUUCAAGAUGUAUAUAAGAUGUAAAUGGAGUGGUUUCUGCCAUAAUAAAAUACUUUAACAAGGAAGAUUGGAACACACGCCAUUCAGCGGAAUCACCAACUGGACCUUUUGUGGGGGGAGAUGGUCCAUCCUCGCUUAAAAUUCCCUGACACAGGAGAAGCAUCUGAUGGGCUGCAGAGGAAAGAAAAAUAGGUUCCACACCUGGUGUUCUGGCUUUAUUGAUUCUGCAAUUUGGCUGUCUGACAACUUGAGGGGCAUUUGUAUUUCUAAGCAACUAGUAUGGAAUACUGUGAAUAAUUUCUUUUUUGAGAUCAGCAUGGAUAGCAAAAGUGUGAAUGUUUCAACUGUUUGCAGACAUAAAAUGGUGGAACAGUCAAAAAAAGUCACGAAUGCUGUUGAACUCUUGUGACCUUAUGGUGUGACUCAAAUGAUAAAUAUCUUUCAGGGUAGUAAGAUGAAGAUCAAAUCGAGAUAUUGAAAAGUGACAGAACCUGAUGUAUGCUUUUCCUUUUCUGAAUCUUAGUUUUGCUUCAAAACGUGACUGUAUAAAUUUGUUGCCGUAUAUAAUUUAUAAUGGCUGACAAAAUGA